GCCGGGUGUGUUGGCAGGCACCUGUAGUCCCAGCUACUCGGGAGGCUGAGGCAGGAGAAUUGCUUGAACCCGGGAGGCGGAGGUUGCAGUGAGCGGAGAUCGCACCACUGCACUCCAGCCUGGGUGACAGAGCAAGACUCUGUCUCAA
rfam:Chlorocebus sabaeus isolate 1994-021 chromosome 13, whole genome shotgun sequence.